GUGGGAGCAACCGAGCUUUCUUCUAAUCCGACGGCCGCAGGUUCGAAUCCUGCCGGGUGCACCA
rnacentral:tRNA from 1 species